rnacentral:misc_RNA from 1 species
UUUUGUGGAGGGCGGGGGACCCUCCUUUCUAUGGAGAAUUGAUGAACGCUGUUCAUCAAUAAAGUUUCCGUGUUUCGUUUUGUUCAGUUUUGAGAGAACUAUCUCUCAUAUAUAAAUGUAUGUUCUUUGAAAACUAGAUAACAGUGUAGCUCAUAUUUUUUAAUUUUUAGUUUGGUUAAGUUAGAAAGGGCGCACGGUGGAUGCCUGACACUAGGAUCAAG